rnacentral:rRNA from 1 species
UACGUAGGUGGCAAGCGUUGUCCGGAUUUAUUGGGUUUAAAGGGUGCGUAGGCGGCCUUAUAAGUCAGUGCUGAAAUAUCCCGGCUUAACCGGGAGGGUGGCAUUGAUACUGUAGGGCUUGAGUCGAGUUGAGGUUGGCGGAAUUGACGGUGUAGCGGUGAAAUGCUUAGAUAUCGUCAAGAACACCGAUAGUGAAGACAGCUAACUAAGCUCAAACUGACGCUGAGGCACGAAAGUGUGGGGAUCAAACAGGAUUAGAAACCCUCGUAGUCC